UUAGGUCCUAUGAUUAAAUAUACACUGACUAUCAUGGUUGAUUGCUUAAAACUCUUUUGCUUCUAUGUAUGCAGUUGGAAGUCAGUUAAUGGCAAAUGCAGCAAUGUGUUGCGACCACAAGCAAGCUGAGGAGGUUUCCCAAAGGUGCACAAGUUCACUAAGGUUUGGAAGAUCUUUAAGCUGCUAAAGAUUUGGAAGACCUAAAAUUAAGUUGGUGGAGUGAUAAUGACCUGUGUCUUGUUUGUUGAACUUGAGACUUGCUCUGCUCAUUUUGGUGGUUGUUAAUUAGCUCAUUUAGGUUGUGUGGCACACAUUUAUAAACAUAUGUACAUUUCUAGCGGCACUACUUUAUUUUUGUUGUGUGGCAAACAUAUAUAUGUACUUCUUUUGUGGCACAACCUCUUUAUAUAUGGUCGUUAUGAUUAUCGAAUGAAGUUUAAGGUUUUCGAUGAGGCCUAUAUGUUACUUUGAA